GCUGCCGUUAACUGCUCCGCUCCCUGACAGGAUUUUUCAUUCAUUCGUGCCAAUGAAACAGGAGGCCUCGAUUCGUGCAGAAGAUAAGGUUUGAAACCCAGACAGCACGAAGCAUCUUGCCGACGUCAAAAUCAGAUCAACAGACAGGGACAUCAGCCUUCUCUUGGGAAUAGGCCAGAUAUGCCAUAACAAGAAAUGGUGUUUUGCCCCUGCGGUUGUGAAGAGGAUGCUGUGGAGGUGGCAGCAUGAACGUGUCACACAGACAUUGGCUAAACUACUCGGCUUCUACACUUGACAACAAAUGUGCUCUACGAUGACAUUUCCAGCAUGUCCAACUCAUCAGCAUCAGGGGAGAUUCGGUGAAGGUGGUGCACCAUCCAGGACCAGUCAUGGGCCACCAACACCUCUGCAAAAUCUACACUUCUUGUGAACCCUGUAGAAGACACUACAACCACAAAACUGCUAAUAAACCAUCACAUACUGCAUCA